rnacentral:rRNA from 1 species
AACGAACGCUGGCGGCAUGCCUAACACAUGCAAGUCGAACGAGACCUUCGGGUCUAGUGGCGCACGGGUGCGUAACGCGUGGGAACCUGCCCUUAGGUUCAGAAUAACUCCCCGAAAGGGGUGCUAAUACCGGAUAAUGUCUUCGGACCAAAGAUUUAUCGCCUUUGGAUGGGCCCGCGUUGGAUUAGCUAGUUGGUAGGGUAAAAGCCUACCAAGGCGACGAUCCAUAGCUGGUCUGAGAGGAUGAUCAGCCACACUGGGACUGAGACACGGCCCAGACUCCUACGGGAGGCAGCAGUGGGGAAUAUUGGACAAUGGGCGAAAGCCUGAUCGCGCUAUGCCGCGUGAGUGAUGAAGGCCUUAGGGAUGUAAAGCUCUUUUACCCGGGAUGAUAAUGACGGUACCGGGAGAAUAAGCUCCGGCUAACUCCGUG